UGGGGGAUAUUGCACAAUGGGCGAAAGCCUGAUGCAGCGACGCCGCGUGGGGGAUGAAGGCUUUCGGGUUGUAAACCUCUUUCGCUAUCGAACAAGGCCCGCUUAGGGUGGGUUGAGGGUAGGUGGAGAAGAAGCGCCGGCUAACUACGUGCCAGCAGCCGCGGUAAUACGUAGGGCGCGAGCGUUGUCCGGAAUUAUUGGGCGUAAAGGGCUUGUAGGCGGCUUGUUGCGCCUGCUGUGAAAACGCGGGGCUUAACUUCGCGCGUGCAGUGGGUACGGGCAGGCUUGAGUGUGGUAGGGGUGACUGGAAUUCCAGGUGUAGCGGUGGAAUGCGCAGAUAUCUGGAGGAACACCGAUGGCGAAGGCAGGUCACUGGGCCAUUACUGACGCUGAGGAGCGAAAGCAUGGCUAGCGAACAGG
rnacentral:rRNA from 1 species